UUAUACAAAGUAAAAGACUGCAACACCCUGUUUUCCAAACAAUUCAUUUGUAUAUAAUGCCUAAAUUCCAUAUUCUUUAAGAUUCAAUUCCCAAUCCGCCGGCCAUCCACACCCAACUGUCCAUUGUUCGUCGACGCCGAACGUUUUGAAGAAAAUGAGCUGCGCUUGGGGCUAUCGGGAGGUGGUCGGCGGUCGUGGUGGCAAAAGUGAGAUAGCCAAGAGCAGUGGGAGGAGAGGCCUUUCGGAGACGGAGGUUGACUUGAAGUUUCAUUUGUUAACGAAAGAGUCAUCGUAGUCGAUUGUGAUUGAUGUUGAUGUUGUGGAGAAGAUAAAGGAGAAGACUAAUCUUUCAAAGCCACCGGCGAAGAGGAUAAUGCAUAACUGGAGCAGGCUUUUGCUAUGUCCAUGAAUAUUUUUGGAUACGAUGUUUCUGUGGUUGACGCUGAUAUGCCAGAUGCAACUAAUGAAGACUAGGAGUUGGCAUUGGUGAACUGGGGCAUUUAAAGCAGCAUCUUGAUUGGCAACUGCCACUCCUGCUUAUGCAUUGUGCCAUGGUUUGGUUGGCAAGUUGCAAGGGUUAGUUCACUUCUAGGUGCUUCAAUCGCAUGAAACAAUGAAAGUGGAAUUUGACCAUGGUGAAUCAUAUGUAUGAAUUGUUAGUUCAGAUAGAAGGUGGGUUGUAGUUUUUAUACUCUAAUAUUAUGGUAAAUGUUAUUUGCUUCUUUUUUUUUUUUUUGGUGACAUGUGAACACAUAGUGGUCUGUUAAUUUAUAUUCUAAUAUUUGGUUAAAUAAUAAAUUAAUUGAUUAUUUUCCUUUUUGUGUAAGAAUGGUGAUCAGUGAUGGUAGAAAAAAGAGUGGACAUUUAACUUCAGGAUUGUUAAGGAGGCAUGUGAUUUAGAGGUCUUUUGAAGAUGUUUUUCAUCAAAUUAACAUCAUCUGAGACUCCCUAAAUAUGGUAGCGAAGCACCUUCUUCUCCUUUGCAUAAGCAAAUUUAGCUCUGAUUGCCUCAACAUUAUAAAAACCAAUCCAAAUUGUUCCUUUUGUCCAGUAAUUCACCACAUAAGUUGAGUUGUACUUGACAUGAACAUCAGGACCAUAUUGCUCAAUAUAAUUCUUGAUUUCCCUACAUGUUACUGCUCCAUUUGGCAAUCUAAUGGCAGGUCCCUUUGCUGCUGCACAAAUACCAUUCUCCAUAGGGUUCUUUAGUGGCCAUGUAUAGCCAAAUAGAGUCAAACUCAAAACCAUUUUAUUAGCUGAUAAUCCUCCAUUAAUCCAUUCUCUUAUACAGAGCUGCACGGACACAUGUAAAGUUAUCAAAUAGAGGUUGAAUAUAAACCUGAGCCAAUUCAAGUGUUGUUGUAUGCUCUCUACAGAGUAAUGGGCCCGGAAGGCAGCGUUGGUGUAUGUUUAACUCUUGCUGUCAAGAGGAGUUGGGACUAAUUAGAGACUGCCGCCUCUAAAAUGAUAGCAGCUCUCCACUCUUGAAACAGAACUCCUAUAUUGAACACCUCAGAGCCUGAAAAUGGAUAAUGCCAAUCAAAGUCAAGGCCAUGAAACGUAAAGUCUGGCUAAUCCUAUCGAGGAAUCAAUUAAGGAUAUUCGUUGCAAAAAGUCACUUACCAUAAAAGAAGUUGCUGAUUUAUUUGCAUCUUUACCCCCAAUAGAUAGCAGUGUAGUGAGUGAUGACAGUGUGUGUGAAUGUGGAGAAAAUUUCUGCAUCAGUCGGUGAUACUAAGAGCUGGUAGGAGCAUAGCCACAGAUAAGGUGAGUGAAGAGAGAAGAAUUAAUCGCCGAAAUGGGAAGUUCAUUGUCUGUUGAAUGCAAAUAAUAACCAGCCCUGAUCCAAUUAGUUGCGCCAUAGAAGAUUAGAAGAAAAUACAGAAAACAAUGGUGAUAAUCUUGGACUUCAUUUGAAGGUGCUUAAAUUGCGCCACUUGUUAUCUAUCAGGGUCUUUGCUUACCUCA